AGGCCAUGCUUUCAUCAAAACUGGCAAAGGAUACUCAAAAUAGCAUACCUAAUAACAGACAUUCAGCCAUUCUGCAGACUCUCCAGUGCAAGCAAUAAUGGCAAUAAGAAUAUUAAGCUGCUAUUGCUACCUGAAAUAUAUUUAAACUUAACCUGAAUUCAUAGCCCUUGACAUGCCCUGUCAAAUUCAGCUAUCAUCAGCUCCAGUUUUAUCUUCCAAAUACAACAUUGGUUGUUGCAUUGUAGUAGGAAGAAUGGGCCAAAUGGGAAAUUGACAUAUGGGAACAAGAAUCCACUGGCAAGAGCAAUUGGUGUUAAUGGAAUUCACCAUCUGGUUACAUUCCAUCAACAACGUUGCAAUGGAUCUGUCUUCUUCAUUGGCAAGAAAAGAGAAACAGAACAAAGAUUUACUACCACGGACCAAAGCUUCAUCUUAGGCAUUUACUUAUUGCUUGCCAUUUGCACUGGUAAAGGACUCCUGACUAGUCAGAUGGACUGCAUAGUCUAACCAAAUGAAUGGGAUUUGAAAUAUCAAUAAAUGCAAU
rnacentral:lncRNA from 1 species